CCCUUGCGUCCUUUUUCCAGUAAUGUAGUCCUUCGUAAUGGAAUAGUAUACAUGCAAUGAAUGUAUAACCCGCAAGGUAUGCUAACAUUCUAACGUUAGCAUGCUAACGCCUAGCAUAAAAUCACAAAAAAUGUUAGUAUGUUCAUGUUGGCAUGCUAUUAAUACAAACAUGUAAUGUGGUCCUUUGCAAUGGAAUAGUAUACAUGCAGUGAAUGUAUAACCCGCAAGGUAUGCUGGGUAUCCUCCUGUUGGCAAAGUGUGCACGAAUAUGAAUACACCCCAGGCUGUUAACGCGGGAUUUAUUCGUGGUUGCGGGACCUUCUGCGCUGCAUGGCAGCUGUUUAUAAGCAAGCGACCGUGUAGCCUCUCUGCUCACACAGCAUAACACGUUUCACCGCUUCUAAUCCUCCGAAAAAGCCCCUCGUAAUAUUUAUGGGAACAUGAAGGGCCAAAGAGUAGUGCAAAAAAAAAAAGGCGUGCGUUGCCACGCUUUAAGCAGAUUUUAGCGGAUAAUCUGCAUCUAAUAAACAAGUCACUGUCAACAUGCUUUGGUGACGGUUGCACAUCAUCAUGCGGUUGGUGAGUCUGAGACAAAAAAAAAAACACAACCAGGAUCCCCAAAUCUUCCUCACCUCUUUGCAGUUUUCCGAGUUGGAGAAGUGAAUGAGGUCAUCGUUGUACAUCUCCUGCGUGUUGAUGAUGUCGCUGUACUCCUUUUGGCUCAGAUCCUCCGGGUUGAUGCCGUUGGCUCUCAGGAACUCCUGAAAUGAUGGCAAAACCCAACACGACAUCAGACGGCAUCAGACAUGCAAAGCGUUGAUGAAAGGGAGACAAAUAAAAGAAAAGCCUUCUGUACCCUCUGGGACGCAGGGUGGCCGGGCAGAAGUUUGGCCCGAGACAAGGUCAGCAGAUACGGGAGCACAAAGCACAGAGGGGAAGAGGAAAAGGAAAUAACGGAGGUAAAUAAAGGGUAAGACAAUAAAGCCCCGAACCAAACACAGCUGUGUUAUUGCACUUUUUAGCGGAGGUGUGUGUGUGUGUGUGUGUGUGUGUGUGUGUGUGUGCAGGUAGCGCAAGCACAGCCAGAUUGGUUAUCAGAGCUCAAUUACAGGAGCAAUUACCGGUGUAAUUAUUACCUUUACACCCUACAACACAACAUUUCAAAAAGCAUGCAAGAAGAAAUUAAAAAAAUUUAAAAAAUUAAAAAAAACAAAAACAACAUUUAAGGCUGAAUAUGAUUAAUAAUUGGUUGGUUAAAUAAUUGGUAAAUAGUUAAUUGGUUCCAGAAUUGACUGUGAUAAGUGAAUUUCCAUACAGUGGGAUUCUUUAUAGUGUCAACAAUGGGACUUGUUCUCCAAGUUGCAUUAAAAAAAAAUAAAUAAUAAUAAUAAUAACUACAAGCGGGCGGCACGGUGGUCUAGUGGUUAGCGCGCAGACCUCACAGAGAUGUCCGAGGGUGGAAUUGAACCCUGGUCUCCUAGCUGUUAUCCUCUCAUUUAGUGUGGAAGUGGUAAUUUUUUUGCUUCUUUUGAAAGUUAUUUUUGAAGUUAUUUGCAGGCUAACUGGUUAGCUUAGUAGGUGGCUAUGCUAGCAGUGUUGAUUCUGUUGCCGGCGCAAUGUGAUGUAAACAAAGAAUAAUAGUGUAAAAGUGACUUUUUGGAGUGUUAUUUCAUGUCUUCAGGGUUCUAAUAAUGUUAGCGCGCAGGCCACACAGCUAGGCGACGAGGGUUCAAUUCCACCCUCGGCCCAUCUCUGUGUGGAGUUUGCAUGCAUGGGUUUUCUCCGUUUGCUAGCAGAUAUUUCGGAUAAUGCUUCCCCGGAUUACCUGCUUUUCCGGGUGGAAGCCUUAUUGGAGCCUGAUCUCUCUCCUCCCCGACGGAGCUUUUUCACACUCACAUGUCGAUCAACCAAUAGGCGAACAGUUCAACCCAAGACACACUUAGGACCGCCCCCUCAUUUGAAUAGUUUUUCCUUCUGCAUUUCAAGCUGACAUUGUUUGCAGCAUGAAAUAAAUACAUAUGAGAGCAGAGUGCUUUUAUUUAUUUAUUGAUAUGUAAUUCUAUUUAUAUAUUUAUUUUUGUAUUUAUUUUUAAUUUUUGAAUCUUGUUUUUUUUAAUUUUUUUAUUUUUGCUU